UAGGAAACUGGGCAGUCAGGUAGAGGAGUUGGACUUAAUGGGUUACUGGAAUAGGGGACGCAGUGGGCCAGUUGGAUCUCUCAUUAGCCACCAGCUGCAGCUACUCCCCAGCACAUUCCACCAAUGUUUUAUGAUGGGGAAAUGGUGUGUGUGAAAGAAAAGUCUCCUGUCCUGCUAACCUGAACCAGCUCCAGUCCCUGUGCCUUCAUCCUGUCUGUCUGGCCUCCAUCUUGGGUGCACACAAACAUUCAAAGCCUUAAAGCUGCAAUAUGUAACGUUUUGGGCAACCUGACCAAAUCUACAUAGACGUGUGUUAUAGAUCAGUCAUUCUCAUUUAAAUCAAGUCUAAGAAGCGGUAUACUGUAUCUGGUCUAUGUGUGCUAUUUCUAUGGUUCCCGUUCUUAAGUGUCGUUUUUGCAUAUUUUACUUUCGGUUUUGUACACCAGCUGUAAAAACAAUAUUUUGGGUUAUGGAAAAUAUAUUUCAUAGCGGUUGAAAUGGUACAAUGAUUCUCUACAUUAUACUUGCUUGUUUUGUCACAAACUGAAAUUAGGCAAACUAUUAGACUUUUAGAAACCAGGAAAUGGUGGGGUGAUAUCUGCAUAGUGCAUCUUUAAAAUGUUUUAAAUUGUUGAAUAAAAGUAUAGUGCCAUUUCAAUAUACAGUAGUCAGACCCAGGUGUUUUGAGUCCUCCUGCCUUUUAGAACUCUAUAUGAGUUAUCAGGAGCCCUCAGAGAGCUGUUCCUCUAAACUACAGCCCUCCUGCCUUUUAGAACUCUAUAUGAGUUAUCAGGAGCCCUCAGAGAGCUGUUCCUCUAAACUACAGCCCUCCUGCCUUUUAGAACUCUAUAUGAGUUAUCAGGAGCCCUCAGAGAGCUGUUCCUCUAAACUACAGUCCUCCUGCCACUC
ensembl:lncRNA